rnacentral:rRNA from 1 species
UACGGGGGGAGCAAGCGUUGUUCGGAUUUACUGGGCGUAAAGGGCUCGUAGGCGGCCAACUAAGUCAUACGUGAAAUCCCUCAGCUUAACUGGGGAACUGCGUGUGAUACUGGAUGGCUUGGAUUUGGGAGAGGGAUGCGGAAUUCCAGGUGUAGCGGUGAAAUGCGUAGAUAUCUGGAGGAACACCGGUGGCGAAGGCGGCAUCCUGGACCAAUAUUGACGCUGAGGCGCGAAAGCGUGGGGAGCGAACAGG